rnacentral:rRNA from 1 species
GGAAUCUUCCGCAAUGGGCGAAAGCCUGACGGAGCAACGCCGCGUGAGUGAUGAAGGUCUUCGGAUCGUAAAACUCUGUUAUUAGGGAAGAACAUAUGUGUAAGUAACUGUGCACAUCUUGACGGUACCUAAUCAGAAAGCCACGGCUAACUACGUGCCAGCAGCCGCGGUAAUACGUAGGUGGCAAGCGUUAUCCGGAAUUAUUGGGCGUAAAGCGCGCGUAGGCGGUUUUUUAAGUCUGAUGUGAAAGCCCACGGCUCAACCGUGGAGGGUCAUUGGAAACUGGAAAACUUGAGUGCAGAAGAGGAAAGUGGAAUUCCAUGUGUAGCGGUGAAAUGCGCAGAGAUAUGGAGGAACACCAGUGGCGAAGGCGACUUUCUGGUCUGUAACUGACGCUGAUGUGCGAAAGCGUG